rnacentral:snRNA from 1 species
UUGCCCCCACCUAUACUAAAAUUGGAAUGAUACCAAGCAGAUUAGUAUGGCCCCUGAACAAAGCAUAAUAAGGAAAUUCAUGAAACCUUAGAAAAAAAU